rnacentral:rRNA from 1 species
GUCUUUUUGAUAAUAAUUUAAGGUUUAACCUGCUCAAUGAGGAUUUAAAUAGCCGCGAUAUUUUGAUCGUGCGAAGGUAGCAUAAUCAUUAGUUUUUUAAUUGAAAGCUGGAAUGAAUGGUUGGACGAGAAAAUUACUGUUUCAAUUUUAAUUAUAUUGAAUUUUAUUUUUAAGUUAAAAAGCUUAAAUAGAAAUUAAAGACGAGAAGACCCUAUAGAGUUUUAUAUUUUUUAUGUAUAGAAUUAGAAGAAUAUAAUAUUUUAUAUAAUAAAAAGUAUUUGGUUGGGGUGACAAAAAAAUUUAAUUAACUUUUUUUAUUAAUUUAUAUUGAUAAAUAGAUAAUUGAUCCAUAAUUUAUGAUUAAAAGAAUAAAUUACCUUAGGGAUAACAGCGUAAUAUUUUUUGAGAGUUCUUAUCGAAAUAAAAGAUUGCGACCUCGAUGUUGGAUUAAAGUUUAGAUUUGGUGUAGAAGCUAAAUUAUUUAGUCUGUUCGACUAUUAAAACUUUACA